ACCCUCAGGGCUCAUCAUGGGAGCACAUCUCCAAUAAUGUGCGCAAAGUGUCUGUGGGACCUCUGGACCAGGUCUAGACCUUUUCAUUGUAACUAGUUAUUGCAGUCUAACUAACUACUGCAGGUUUGCUGCUCCGCUUGAUGCCAGAUUUGUUUGUUUUUUCCUAAGGUAUGGGUCAUUGCGGAUAAGGUGCAGGGCAGUCACAGUUUGAGCUGUGGCACUGUGUGUCGCCGACUGGGGGUGCUGCCGAUGGAACCCAAAGGACACUCAUGGGACUAUGGCAUUGGGGGCGGAUGGGAUCAUAUAACAGUCAGAGGAAAUGCCAUGGAGGCACCUCGCAUUGUGAUGCCAUCCCUUACUGACAACCAGACGGCAACACGGCCACUACAAACCAGUAACCAGCCAGAGAUGAACGGAAACCCAGUGGGCUGUUAGUCAGCUGAGCUCUUUAUGCUAACUGUCUCUACUGUAGCCAUGAACCCUUCUGUAGCGCUUCUCUUGUUUAGAGCAGAAUUACUCAAUCCCACUUAACAAGCUCCCGCACAUGCAGACCACUCUGUGGUUUUGUUUGUACCUCAGCUGAAUUCACAUUUUCUAGUUAGUUUAAAAGCUCUUUUCUCCUUUCUCGUGGAUAUUGAAGCCACUUUCAGUAAGGCCCUCUUCUUUUUAACACUCCCAUCAUUCGUCAUUAUGGUUUUUAAUUUAGGAUUAAAAUGUUCAUUUAUUUGUCUGUGGUAAAAUCACGAUUGCCCGUUUGCUUUUUUUUAUUUGAAUUCAGGAACAUUAAAUACAAAACGUCACAGUGUAAGCUACUGUAGAUACACUACAAGCAUUUUAUAUUGAACAUCACACAAACAACAUUUUUAAACAAACACCUGCUUUGGGAAUUUUACAGCUUGGCUGCAGUGCCGCUAAACAUUGGUUUAAGCAUAAAAGAGUCUGUAAUACUUUCAUCAUUUGCUUGUAUUGGGUUAUUGGUUAUGUUCUUAUUCAAAGCUGAGACAGCACAGUGGUUCUGUACAAAUACACUACAGUUCCAAAAUCUGGGGCCAGUAAGAUUUUUUUAAAGAAAUUAAUCCUUUCAUUCAGCAAGGAUAUAAAAAAUUGACUAAAAUGACAGUAAAGGAUCUUAUAUUGUGAAAGAUUUCGGUUUCAAAAAUAGAUUCUGUACUUUUGAACUUCCAAUUAAAAAUCCUAAAAAAAAAAAAAAAAAAACGUUGGUUUCUACAAAAAAAAUAAAAAAUGUUUUCAACAUUGAUAAUAAGAAAGU
ensembl:lncRNA